rnacentral:tRNA from 1 species
GGGGGAGUGGCGAGUUGGCCGAAUCUGCAUUCACACUGCAGAGGUCACUGGUUCGAUCCCAGUAUCGCCCA